AGUUACCAGGACUGAGCGCCAAUCAGCCAGGACACCCAGGACUCCUCAAGACAGAAGUUCCCAAGGACUGAACGGCAAUCAGCCAGGACACCCAGGACUCCCCAAGAAAAGCAAGACAAGUUCCCAAUGACAGACAAAAGAUUCCAAAGAAAAGUGUUGACACAGCUUAUAGAAAUAAAAGAAGAACUGAGAAGAAUUGGUAAAAAUGUGGAACCAGACACUGUGUUCCACCUGUCUACCUUGGCUACUGAGGAGGAUUUCAAAUACCUAGAAAGGCAGUUGGAAAGUGAGA